rnacentral:snRNA from 1 species
AUACUUACCUGGCAGGGGAGAUACCAUGAUCACGAAGGUGGUUUUCCCAGGAUGAGGCUUAUCCACUGCACUCUGGAUGUGUUGACCCCUGAGAUUUCCCCAUGUGUGGGAAACUCGACUGCAUAAUUUGGGGGGGGGGGGGGGGGCAGGGAGGACGGAUUUCUA